rnacentral:pre_miRNA from 1 species
GAUCUACUCCCUCCGUUUGGAAUUACUUGUCACCAAAAUGGAUGUAUCUAGAACUAAAAUACAUCUAAAUACAUUCAUUUCAAUGACGAGUAUUUCCGAACGGAGGGAGUAGAUU